CGCUGAACUUAAGCAUAUCACUAAGCGGAGGAAAAGAAACUACCAGG
rnacentral:rRNA from 10 species